UCGGAUCGCAUGGGCCUGUCCCGCGACAAACCAUUCAAGUUUCUGCCCCAUCAGCUUUCGAUGGUAGUGUAUUGGACUACCAUGGCUUUUACGGGUAACGGAGGAUUAGGGUUCGAUUCCGGAGAGGGAGCCUGAGAAACGGCUACCACAUCCAAGGAAGGCAGCAGGCGCGUAAAUUACCCAAUCCUGACUCAGGGAGGUAGUGACAAGAAAUAACGGGCCGGGGUACGACCUCGGGACUGCAAUGAGACGAAUUUACACCCCUUAUCGAUCACCAAUUGGAGGGCAAGUCUGGUGCCAGCAGCCGCGGUAAUUCCAGCUCCAAUAGCGUAUAUUAAAGUUGUUGCAGUUAAAAAGCUCGUAGUUGGAUUUCUGGCAGGGGGCAACAGCCCGCUUGCAGCGUGUGCUUGCCGUCCCCUACCAUCCUUCUGUUAACGCGCCAGGACAUUCACUUGUCGGGCGCGGGCUCAGAUAAUUUACCUUGAGAAAAUUAGAGUGUUUCAGGCAGGCUGACGCCGGGAUACAUUAGCAUGGAAUAAUGGAAUAGGACUUUCGCCUCUUCUGUUGGUCUGAGGGGUGAUCGUAAUGAUUAAUAGGGAUAGUUGGGGGCAUUAGUACUUAACUGUCAGAGGUGAAAUUCUCGGAUUUGUUAAAGACUAACUUAUGCGAAAGCAUUUGCCAAGGAUGUUUUCAUUAAUCAAGAACGAAAGUUAGGGGAUCAAAGACGAUCAGAUACCGUCCUAGUCUUAACCAUAAACUAUGCCGACUCGGGAUCGGGGGCGAGAGUUAUCCGCCUUCGGCACCGUAUGAGAAAUCAAAGUCUUUGGGUUCUGGGGGGGAGUAUGGUCGCAAGGCUGAAACUUAAAGGAAUUGACG
rnacentral:rRNA from 1 species